ACUUUCGUCAAAUAACAAGUCGUUUACCGCCAGAACUGUGAAUGAUUAGGUGGCGACACGUUGUCAUCAACACUAAUCGAAAAAGUUCCUCAUUCUUUUCGCAACGCACACGCACUAAAAGGCAUUGUUCUGGGCUGGUGAACUCCUUGAUACUUAUCCACUACAAGAUUGGAUCAGCUUGCAUGUUGACUUUGAAAAGGCACAUUGAUAUAAAAGUCUGCAGGUCAUUAACAUUAUAGAUGCUGACCUUUUCACUUGUGGUUUAAUUUGGGAAAAGAGUAAACAGCUUUGAAGAUGGUGACUUCUUUAAUCCCUAAGGUUAUCUUGCCUGAUGCCAGCGCUCAGAGGUUAACUCUCUCCCAAGGACUCCCUGCAUCUAUUGAUCUUAUGGUGUGGACUUGCUGAAAGGUUUAGACUUUAGUACCUGGAUUCCAUGUUUGGAAAUGAGUUUUUUCAGAAGUAGAGGACUAUGCAGUAAGAUUAUGAAAGUUCUGUAGUUAGUGGUCCAGUCUUAAAUCCCCAAGCUUUCAGUCUUUCCUCUGUAAGUGACUCUUCUUCCCUGUCAGCUGGUUCUGAUACAGAUAUGUCAUCAAGUGACUGUUCAAGUGCACUAUCUACUUGACCUGCUUUUUUUCAUGUGCCUAAAUUGUCAUAAACUAUCUAACUACCAUACAAAGCUGAGAAAACUGUUUUUUUUUAUUAGCAUUCUCCACAACUUUAUCUGAUUUGGGGUUGUAUAUGCAGACUUGCAUGCACCUUCUUGUUUCUAGACUCAUUGUCUAUUUUAUCAGCUCCACUUACCAUAUAGAAGCACUUUGUAGUUUUACAAUUACUGACUGUAGUCCAUCUGUUCUCUUCAUGCUUUGUUAGCCCCCUUUCACACUGUUCUUCAAUGGUCAGGACCCCCACAGAGCAGGUAUUAUUUGGGUGGGGGAUCAUUCUCAGCACUUCAGUGACUGACAUGGUGGUGGUUGUGCUGGUAUGAGUGAAUCAGACACAGCAGCACUAAUGGGGUUUUUAAACAAUUCACUGUCACUGCUGGACUGAUAAUUGUCCACCAACCAAAAACAUCCAGACAACAGUGCCCUGUGGGCAGCAUCCUGUGACCACUGAUGAAGGUCUAGAAGAUGAGCGACUCAAACAGCAGCAAUAGAUGAGCGAUUGUCUCUGACUUUACAUCUACAAGGUGGACCGACUAGGUAGGAGUGUCUAAUAAGAGUGGACAGUAAGUGGACACUGUGUUUAAAAACUCCAGCAGCACUGCUGUAUCUGAUACACUCAUACCAACACAACACACAAUAACACACCACCACCAUGUCGGUGUCACUGCAGUGCUGAGAAUGAUCCACCACCUAAAUAAUACCUGCUCUGUGGGGGUCCUGAC